rnacentral:rRNA from 1 species
GGAAUUGACGGGACCCCGCACAAGCGGUGGAUCAUGUUGUUUAAUUCGAUGAUACGCGAAGAACCUUACCAGGUCUUGACAUCCCCUGCAAAGCAUGGAGACAUAGUGGAGGUUAUCAGGGAGACAGGUGGUGCAUGGUUGUCGUCAGCUCGUGUCGUGAGAUGUUGGGUUAAGUCCCGCAACGAGCGCAACCCUUAUUGCUAGUUACCAUCAUUCAGUUGGGGACUCUAGCGAGACUGCCAGUGAUAAACUGGAGGAAGGUGGGGAUGACGUCAAAUCAUCAUGCCCCUUAUGACCUGGGCUACAAACGUGAUACAAUGGCUGAAACAAAGGGCAGCGAAGCAGUGAUGUGGAGCGAAACCCAAAAAAGCAGUCUCAGUUCGGAUUGAAGUCUGCAACUCGACUUCAUGAAGUCGGAAUCGCUAGUAAUCGCGGAUCAGAACGCCGCGGUGAAUACGUUCUCGGGGUUU